rnacentral:rRNA from 1 species
GACGAACGCUGGCGGCGUGCUUAACACAUGCAAGUCGAACGGAAAGGCCCUGCUUUUGUGGGGUGCUCGAGUGGCGAACGGGUGAGUAACACGUGAGUAACCUGCCCUUGACUUUGGGAUAACUUCAGGAAACUGGGGCUAAUACCGGAUAGGAGCUCCUGCUGCAUGGUGGGGGUUGGAAAGUUUCGGCGGUUGGGGAUGGACUCGCGGCUUAUCAGUUUGUUGGUGGGGUAGUGGCUUACCAAGGCUUUGACGGGUAGCCGGCCUGAGAGGGUGACCGGCCACAUUGGGACUGAGAUACGGCCCAGACUCCUACGGUAGGCAGCAGUGGGGAAUAUUGCACAAUGGGCGGAAGCCUGAUGCAGCAACGCCGCGUGCGGGAUGACGGCCUUCGGGUUGUAAACCGCUUUCGCCUGUGACGAAGCGUGAGUGACGGUAAUGGGUAAAGAAGCACCGGCUAACUACGUG